rnacentral:lncRNA from 1 species
UCCAAACUUGAGUCUCUGGCAAGUGCUGGGCAGGACUUCCACUAGCUUUUGAGUGUGCGUAUACGAUUAGAAUUCAACCUCUUAGGCCUUUCCUCACACUGACAGCAAUUCUUCUGGGACAUUGUUGAGAACUUAGCCACCAGACUUGCUAGUAUGAAGACCUACAGUGGCCUCUGACUCUUUGACAUCAAUCACUCCUCUGCUUGUACACACAUAUCAUGAAUACCUCUUCUAAGAAACUCUUCCGUGCCCAGCAACCACAUCGCAGAGUUCUCCAGAACCACCUGCUCCAUCGACACCAAACUCCAUCUAGAGUCAUCAUCACUCUGCAAAAGUCAUCCUUGUCUACAAUGACUGAUUGAUUAAAACUUCAUAAUGUGGACCAGUUGCAAUAGUGCAGAUCCAGUGCCUACUUUCAGUUUCUCCGGCCAAUCUUUAGCCUGCUCCAUAGCCAGUCGUUGCCUAACUCUUUAUCAGAAGUAACAUUGUGCCACCAGUCAGAUAGAAGAAUCUGAA